UACGUAGGUGGCAAGCGUUUGUCCGGAAUUAUUGGGCGUAAAGCGCACGUAGGUGGCGACGUAAGUCGGGUGUGAAAGCCCCGGGCUCAACCUGGGAAUUGCAUUCGAGACUGCAUUGCUGGAGUACGGAAGAGGAGGGCGGAAUUCCCGGUGUAGCGGUGAAAUGCGUAGAUAUCGGGAGGAACAUCAGUGGCGAAGGCGCCCUCUGGUCCAGUACUGACACUCAAGUGCGAAAGCGUGGGGGAG
rnacentral:rRNA from 1 species